rnacentral:sRNA from 1 species
CGAGCGCCAGCGAGAGAGCGUUGCCGCAGGCAACGACCCGAAGGGCGAAGCGCGCAGCGCUGAGUAAUCCUUCCCCCACCACCA